rnacentral:rRNA from 1 species
UAACCUUAGAUUAGGUAGGGAUACCUGCUGAACUUAAGCAUAUUAAUAAGCAGAGAAAAAGAAACUAACAGAGAUUACUCUAGUAACGGCGAGUAAAGCAGCAAUAGCUUAAAUUUAAAAUCUAGCUCUUUUAGAGUCUAAGUUGUAAUUUACAGAGAGCGCUUUAGCGUUAGCAGCAGUCUAAGUUCUUUAGAACAGGACGUUAUAGAGAGUGAGAAUCCUAUACGUAGUCGCUAGCCUUCGCCGUAUAAAGCCCCUUUAAUAAGUUAAGUUGUUUAGGAAUGCAGCUCUAAAUAGGAGGUAAAUUUCUUCUAAAGCUAAAUACUAGCUAGAGACUAAUAGCGCAUAAGUAGAGUAAUUAAAAGAUAAAAAGCACUUUAGAAAGAGAGUUAAAUAGCACGUAAAAUUAUUGAAAGGGAAGCGCUUGCAGCUAGACUUGCCUAUAGUUGCUUAUCUAGACUUUUAUCUAGUGCACUCUUCUACAGGCAGGCUAGCAUUAGUUUAGGCAGUUAGAUAAAGGUCUCUGUUAUAUACCUCCUUUUAGAGAGGCUUUAUAGAGGAGACAACAUACAACUAGCCUAGACUAAGGUCUGCGCAUCUGCUAGGAUGCUAGCGUAAUAGCUGUAAGCAGCCUAUCUUAAAACACAGACUAAAGAGUCUAACAUCUAUGCGAGUAUUUAGGUAUUAAGCUUAGACGCGUAAUAAAAGUAAACAGAGGUAGGAACCUUUUAGGUGCACUAUUAACUAAUCCUAAUAUCUUUAGAAAGAUUUAAGUAAGAGCAUAGCUGUUAGGACCCAAAAGAUAGUAAACUAUGCUUAAAUAGGGUAAAGCUAGAGGAAACUCUAGUAGAGGCUUGCAGCAGUUCUGACGUGCAAAUUAAUCGUUAAAUUUAGGCAUAGAGGCGAAAAACUAAUCGAACUAUCUAGUAGCUAGUUCCUGCUAAAGUUUCCCUUAGAAUAGCAGUAACGUAUUUAGUUUUAUAAGGUAAAGCAAAUAAUUAGAGGCCUAGAGGUUAAAAUAACCUUCACCUAUUCUUAAACUUUAAAUAUAUAAGAAGUCCUUGUUACUUAAUUAAACGUAGACACUUAAAUAUACCGUUACUAGUAGGCUAUUUUUAGUAAGCAGAACUAGCGAUGCAGGAUGAACUAAACGCAGAGUUAAGGUACUAGAAUAUACGCUUAUUAGAUACUACAAAAGGUGUUAGUUUAUCUAGACAGCAGGACAGUAGCUAUAGAAGUUAGAAUCUACUAAAGAGUAUAUAACAACUUACCUGCUAAAUGAACUAGCCCUAAAAAUAGAUAGCGCUUAAGCGUAUUACCUAUACUCUGCUGCUAGAGCAGAAUUUAUGCCCUAGUAAGUAGGCAGGCGUAGAGGCUUAUAAUAAAGCCUUAGAGGUAACCUUAGGUCAAACGGCCUCUAGUGCAGAUCUUAGUAGUAGUAGCAAAUACUUAAAUAAGAACUUUAAGGACUAAAGUAGAGAAAGGUUCUGUGUAAAUAGUAGUUAGACACAGGUUAGUCGAUCCUAAGAGAUAGAGUAGUUCUGUUUUAAUAUUAGCGCUUGCGCUACGCCCUUAAAAGAGAAGCUAGUUAAUAUUCUAGCACCUAGAUGUAGAUUCUCUGCAGCAACGUAACUGAGAGCAGAGACCUUAGCAGAAGCUCUAAGAAGAGUUCUCUUUUCUUCUUAACAGUCUAUUACUCUAAAAUCAGUUUGUCCGGAGCUAGAGUUUAAUAGCUAGAAGAGCGCUGCACUUUUAUAGCGUUUAGUGCGCUCCUAAUAAGCCUUGAAAAUCCGCUUAAAGAAAUAGUUUUUACGCUAGGUCGUACUUAUAACUGCAGCAGGUCUCUAAGGUAAAAAGCCUCUAGUUAAUAGAAUAAUGUAGAUAAGAGAAGUUAGCAAAAUAGAUCUAUAACUUUAGAAAAAGGAUUAGCUCUAAGGGUUAGGUACGUUAAGCCUUAGAGAGAAGCCUCUAGCGCAGAAGAGCACUAGCUGCAAGGUAGGCGCCUUUUAGCGCUAGAGUGCAGGUAUUCUUAGCAGGCUUCAGCCGUCUAGCGUACGUUUAAUAACUAACUUAGAACUAGUACAGAUAAGAGAAAUCUAACUGUCUAAUUAAAACAUAGCAUUACAAUAGCUAGAAAGUAGUAUUAACGUAAUAUAAUUUCUGCCUAGUGCUCUAAAUAUUAAAGCGAAGAGAUUUAACUAAGCGCAGGUAAACAGCAGAAGUAACUAUAACUCUCUUAAGGUAGCUAAAUGCCUUAUUAUCUAAUUAGUAACGCGCAUAAAUAGAUUAAUGAGAUUCCUACUGUCUCUAUCUACUAUCUAGCGAAACUAUAGCUAAUGAGAACAGGCUUAGCUAAAUUAGCAGAGAAAGAAGACCCUAUUAAGCUUAACUCUAGUUUAACAUUAUGAAAAGAUAUAGAGAGUGUAGAAUAGGUAGGAGCUUUAGCGCUAGUAAAAUACUACUACCCUUAUUAUUUUUUUACUUAUUUAAUGAAGUAGAGCUAGGCCUUACUGCCUAACUUCUAGCGUUAAGGUCCUUCGUAAGCCGAUCUAAGUUAAAGAUAUUAUUAGGUAGAGAGUUUAGCUAGAGCAGCACAUCUGUUAAACUAUAACGCAGGUGUCCUAAGGGGGACUUAUAGAGAAUAGAAAUCUCUAGUAGAGCAAAAGGGCAAAAGUCCUCUUAAUUUUAAUUUUUAGUGUAAAUACAAACUAUAAAAGUGUAGCCUAUCAAUUCUUUAGUCUCUUAAAAUUUAAGGCUAGAGGUGCUAGAAAAGUUACUACAGAGAUAACUAGCUUAUAGCAGCUAAGCGUUUAUAGCGACGUUGCUUUUUAAUCCUUUAAUAUCAGCUCUUCCUAUUAUACUAAAGCAGAAUUUAGUAAGCGUUAGAUUGUUUACCUACUAAUAGAGAACGUAAGCUAGGUUUAGACUAUUAUAAGAUAGGUUAGUUUUACCCUACUAAUAACUUUGCCCUAAUAGUAAUACCGCUUAGUACGAGAGAAACUGCAGUUUUAGAUAAUUAGUUUUUGCAGCUAUCUAACUAGGCAUUGCUGCGAAGCUACUAUCUGCUAGAUUAUAGCUAAACGCCUCUAAGUCAGAAUCUAUGCUAGAAUAAGUGUAAUUUCCGCCUACACUAGUUAGAUACGAAUAGGCCUUUAGCCUAGAAUCUUACUAGAUCAGCGUUAGCAGUCUUAUUAAAAUUAGGGCUACUAGCUAGUGUAUUGCAAUUAUAUAGUGCGCAGAAUUAAAUCCUUUGCAGACGACUUAGUUAUCUAGCUAAGUCGUAUAAGUAGUUAAGUAGCCUUAUUAUUAUAAGCUACUAAGCGUAAGCCUAAUGCUAGCUUAGUUAAA